rnacentral:misc_RNA from 1 species
GUGACCACCUCCGCCUCUUCCUGUGCCUCCAUGCGGAACACGCGUUGGUUGCGACCUCUCUCUUUGCGCUCUCGCCUUUCCUUAUUCUGUGUGUGUGCGCUUACAUUUGUGGCCGGUGCGAUUUUCUUGAACGGCACAGCGCUGAGGACCUCUCCAUAGCAUCAUCGGAUCAAGGUUCUCUUGCUUUCCACUAGCAAGAGCUUCUUCGUUCUCGGUGCACGGCAGAGAAGUUCACUGCAGAGGCUGACUGGCAAAUAAACCCAGCGAAGGAUGUUUCGCAGACUAAGCGCUAUUCCGGUGAGGUGGACGGCCGGGGCGGUUUCUGGUGUCGGUACGUCGGCCAUGGCUAGUGGGCCAAGAGCAUACGCUGCGAAGGGCGAGGAGCAGAUGGACGACGCCGAGUUUGAGGUCUUCGAAGACGACCUCUGGUUUCUCGACGAGCUCUGCGACGAAAACGUUGGCGACCUCUUCUCUUACAUUCCCUCUUCUGACGCAACGCUGCUUGGACACGAUGAGCCACCUUCCAAGUAGAAAAAAAAAGAUCGCGACUGCGGAGCUUGCGUCAGCGGUGUGGCGUACUCCCGUGUCACUUUUAGCAGCUCUUGUGAGUGACCCCACCCACACCCCCGCGGUCAGAUGGAGGUCAUCUUUCGUGAUUUGUAAUUGCCCCUCCUUCUCUUAUUCCCUCCCACGUCUCUCCCUCGCGCUGCUCCGCGUUUGAAACUCGUUGGAUUGUGUGUGUGUGUGUGUGUGUUUCAUAUUUACAGAGAUUUACCGGACAAAAGACGUCCGUCCCUGUGGCGCGGCGUUGACGACCCUCGCAGGGAUCUUCCCUUUUUCCUUUAAGGCAAGACGAAAAACGAGAACGGACAUCUUUGCGAUGUGUGAUAUGUGCGUGUGUGCUCUUCUAAGACACGUUGCGCAACCGCGCAACUCGUCUUGAUGUUAAAGACUGUGUUCUUGAGUGUUGAUGGUGGCCGUACCUUAUUUUUUUCUCCGUGUUGUUGUUCCUUUCCACGCGACUUGCACAAGUGU